rnacentral:ncRNA from 1 species
GUAUUCUAUGGGGUGCAAGCUUUAAAUGCAACUUAAGUACUAAUUUAUUUUGUCAGACCCCCAUGUAAAUGGUGCAUUACUGCUAGCCAACAUGAAUGUUAUAUA